rnacentral:rRNA from 1 species
GACGAACGCUGGCGGCGUGCUUAACACAUGCCAGUCGUACGGUAAGGCCCUUUCGGGGGUCCACGAGUGGCGAACGGGUGCGUAACACGUGAGUAACCUGCCCACUCUUUUUGUUUAACGCUAGUAACCUGGUGCUAAUUAUGGAUAUGUCCUACUGCUGCUUGGUGGGGUUUGGAAAGCUCCGGCGGUCUUGGAUGGAUUGGCGGGCUAUCAGCUUGUUGGUGGGGUAGUGGCCUACCAAGGCGGCGACGGGUAGCCGGCCUGCGGGGGUGACCGGCGACAUUGGGACUGAGAUACGGCACAGACGCCGAAGGGAGGCAGAAGUGGGGAAUAUUGCACAAUGGGCGCAAGGCGGAUGCAGCAGCGCCGCGUGCGGGAUGACGGUCUUCGGGUUGAAAAACGCUUUCAGCAGGGACGAAGCUUUUUGUGACGGUACCUGCAGAAGAAGCACCGGCUAACUACGUG